ACCUCAUUAUUUAUUUAAUUGGGAAUAUAAAUAGUACACAACAAAAACGGUAUAUAGCGACACUUUUAAAUAUCGGUAUAGGUUAAAAAAAUACUGCUGGCUAAAUUACGGACACUUUUAAAAAGUGUUGCUAUAUGUGGGGUCGCUAGGUAUAUAGUGAUGGUUAAAGAGUGUCGUUAUAACCUAAAAAUAAAGCUGCUAAUUUAUCAGCACUUAUUUAAGUAUUUAGCAACCGUCGGAACUUUACCUCGUUCCCUGCGGUAGCGGAGGUGCGGUGGCAGAGGAGGACGAGAGGGAAGGGCUCUUCGUCCAAAAUUUCAGUGAAUUGAGUGAGGGGAGAAGGGGAGAUGAUAAUCGAUUUUUCUUUUUUUUUUUUCUGUUUGUAAUCGGGCAGAAUGAGCUGGAUGGGGUGGGUUGAGUAGAAUAUCCUUUUAUUUUUGGUUGGAUUGAGCUUUAUAUUAAGAUAUUAGUAGAUUUUUUUAAAAGUUUUGGUAUAAAUAGAAUACUUACACAAAAAUAUUCUAAAUAUAUGUUCCUACAAUUUAAUUCUGUUUCUGUGAGUAAACUACGAUAAUAUUUGGAUGUGCUUAAAUUAAGGACAAAAAUGUCACGUAGAGGAUGUGUUUUGGAACGAGGGAGGGGGUUUCUUUCUCCACCUAUCUCUUAGUUGUUGACUUGCCAUUUCAAAGAAAAAGGAUUAAAUAAAUUUAAAAAAAAUGUUGACGUAGAGUUGACGUAAGUGACUUCAAGUCAAAAUAUGGGCCAUAUCGAACUACAUAUAUAUAUAUAGUUGGUUAAUUUGGGCUUAGUAAGUAAAGGGUUUAAUUGGUAAUUAAAAGGGGCGCCAUAAUUUAAUCCGAUUUUUAGGUCUGAUUAAGUUGCAUUAGUCUUUUUCAUUUUGAUUAGCUUUGAGUAUUAACUGAUGAAUUAAAAAUUAUUUGCAGAGAAAUUAAUAUCCUUAUUUUUGCUUCUUUGCUUUCUUUUUUUUUUUUUUUUUCUUACGCACGCCUUGUCAUGUCAUUGCGGAGAAAUAAUUACACUGGUGAUUUAUAUUGCAUGAUUCUUUUGCUUAUAUGUUAUUAUACUAAGUAAUUGUGGCUUAAUUACUACAAUCACUACAACAAAAACGGUCUAUAGCGACACUUUUAAAUGUAGGUACAUGUCAAAAAAGUGCUGCUAACUAAAAUUACCAACACUUUUAAAAAGUGUUGGUAUAUGUGGGGUCGCUAGGUAUAUAGUGACAAUUAAAGAGUGUCGCUAUAACCUAAAAGAGUGCUGCUAAUUUACCAACACUUAUUUAAGCAUUUAGCAACCGCCGAAACUCUAUCACGUUGGUUGCAGUGGCGCAGGAGGAUGACAGGAAAGACUCUUCGUCUAGAAUUUCAGUGGAUUGAGUGAAAAGAGAAGAAAAUAUGAUAAUUAAUUUUUUCUUUUUUUUUUCUUUUCUGUUUGUAAUCGGGUCAAAUGAACUGGGUGUGGUGGGUUGAGUAGAGUAAUCUUUUAUUUUUGGUUGGAUUGGACUUUAUAUUUAGGCAUAAGUAGAUAUUUUUUUAAGUUUUAGCAUAAAUGAGAUACUUACUCAAAAAUGUUCCAAACAUGUGUCCCUAUAACCUAAUUCUGUUGUAGUGAAAAUAUCAACAUUUGAGAUGUUAGUGUCUUGUAUAUAU
rnacentral:lncRNA from 1 species